rnacentral:rRNA from 1 species
GACGAACGCUGGCGGCGUGCUUAACACAUGCAAGUCGAACGGAAAGGCCCUGCUUUUGUGGGGUGCUCGAGUGGCGAACGGGUGAGUAACACGUGAGUAACCUGCCCUUGACUUUGGGAUAACUUCAGGAAACUGGGGCUAAUACCGGAUAGGAGCUCCUGCUGCAUGGGGGGGGUUGGAAAGUUUCGGCGGUUGGGGAUGGACUCGCGGCUUAUCAGCUUGUUGGUGGGGUAGUGGCUUACCAAGGCUUUGACGGGUAGCCGGCCUGAGAGGGUGACCGGCCCCAUUGGGACUGAGAUACGGCCCAGACUCCUACGGGAGGCAGCAGUGGGGAAUAUUGCACAAUGGGCGGAAGCCUGUUGCAGCAACGCCGCGUGCGGGAUGACGGCCUUCGGGUUGUAAACCGCUUUCGCCUGUGACGAAGCGUGAGUGACGGUAAUGGGUAAAGAAGCACCGGCUAACUACGUG